rnacentral:tRNA from 1 species
AGGGAUUUAGCUCAGUGUCACAGCUCCUGCCUGGCAAGCAUGAGGUCCUGAGUUCGAUCCCCAGGACCCUC